GAUGAACGCUGGCGGCGUGCCUAAUACAUGCAAGUCGAGCGAACGGACGAGAAGCUUGCUUCUCUGAUGUUAGCGGCGGACGGGUGAGUAACACGUGGAUAACCUACCUAUAAGACUGGGAUAACUUCGGGAAACCGUAGCUAAUACCGGAUAAUAUUUUGAACCGCAUGGUUCAAAAGUGAAAGACGGUCUUGCUGUCACUUAUAGAUGGAUCCGCGCUGCAUUAGCUAGUUGGUAAGGUAACGGCUUACCAAGGCAACGAUGCAUAGCCGGCCUGAGAGGGUGAUCGGCCACACUGGAACUGAGACACGGUCCAGACUCCUACGGGAGGCAGCAGUAGGGAAUCUUCCGCAAUGGGCGAAAGCCUGACGGAGCAACGCCGCGUGAGUGAUGAAGGUCUUCGGAUCGUAAAACUCUGUUAUUAGGGAAGAACAUAUGUGUAAGUAACUGUGCACAUCUUGACGGUACCUAAUCAGAAAGCCACGGCUAACUACGU
rnacentral:rRNA from 1 species